rnacentral:lncRNA from 1 species
UUUUAAAAUGACUGGCUGUUGGGUUCAAAUGGUGUUUUAAACAAAUUUUGGCGUGGGCUAUAGAGUUUGGGUGUGCCACUAAACUGCCUUGGCUGAGUGACAGUUUAAACAGAGCCAAACAGCUGGUCCUGUGAGGAGACUCCUUGAUGGAAAGAUUUCCCAGGAACAAUGGCUUGUCUUGAGCUCUCUUGGCUUGGGAUCUUGAGAGGGUCCCUUUAGUCUCCUUAGGUCCUGGGAAUCCUUCUGUUGCAGGAGCAUCAUUGGCUCUCAGGGACAUACUUCUGUGUUCUCUUUUCUCUUCCCACUGGAUCUGCUGUUACAGGACCAUCACUGGAUCUCAGUGAGAUGCAUCCAUCUUCUCUUUUCUCUUUCCACUGGCCUUGGUUGAUACUGAUGGGGAGCUGUUGCCUUUGGAGAAGAACUGGGAGGAAGAGAGUUGGCCCUGUGACUUCUGAUCUGCAAAACAACAUUAGGAAACUCUUAGUAUCACCAUUAUUGGUGCCAGGCAGCUGUCAGCUGUUCUGCUGUUGA